GCAAGUUGGUGUAAAAAAAAGUUUUCAAAUUUGUUAAAGACAAUAUUUUCCAAACAUUAGCUUUAAGAUUCUACGACAAUAAAAAUGAUUUAACUUUGGCGAGAUUAUCAGAAUAGUUCGUCAAAUCUAGAAAGUGGCUUUUAGAAAAUGGUGCAGAACCUGAUGAUCGAACAAAUAAUAAAAGGGGAAUAAGAGCCUCAGAUAGACUGUCCACGUCAUAUGGAAAAUUCACCCAAUCAUGUUAUAAGGUUUUGGCACGUCAGUAAAAACAAGAAAACAUCUUUGAUUACGAUUAAAAGGAACAAUGACACGUGUUUCAUUAAACUAAAAGGCUUUGAUUUCUGCUUUCUUUUAAUUUUCGUAUGGGCUUAAACGAUUGUAUUAUUUGUGGGCUUUGAAUAAUGGAUUUUGUCCUGAGAAAGAAAGUAAACCUUGGGCCAUUUUUUGCAUGCACCUACCUCCUUCACGAGAAGCGUUCUAGGGUUCUUCUUCUUCUCCAAAAUCUGAUAACGUCUACAAACAAUGGAGUUAGGGAUAGAGGAGACGAGGCUUCGUGAGUCGUCAGAUCGUGUCGUUUCAUGAUCGAUUCUUCUCUCGCCCCCGAACCGUUACACGUUGCAUUUAUUAACCACCAUUCAAUGAUCCUUCUCUUUUCUCAGCCUAAACAGGCUAUAUAAGUACAUGCAUGUGGAAUGCAUUGAUAUCAGUCUCAGUAAUGCAAUGUCAAUUAUCAUGUUAUUUUGUAAAUUCACAGAUGCUAUGUUAUACUAACGAAAUCAUUGUAUUUGGAUUUGUAGAUGAAUUAUAGAAGCUUGGUCUCUUCUGGACAGAGAAGCCUUGAAAUCCAGCACGCUUCAUCUUCCAAUUAUUCGAAAGCUGUGGGUCUGUGGUGAGUGUUUGUUUUGGCUUACUUUGUAUCAUUAGAAUCCAUUUUCUUAAUUAAUAUUUUUAUGAUUUUUUUUUGUGUUUGUUAGGUUUAUAUUCAAGAUCUCAAGCAUACAAUUUGUUCAGCUGUUGAUGUCGUGCACUGUAUGGUGUCUUCCAUAUUCUCACUGAUAUCAAGGUAACUUUCUUUUCUCAGGAAUUAUAACGAACUUAUGAGGCUUAUCCUCUUACCGUUUCUCUGUGAAAUGGACGGACAGAACUCGAUCAUUAUCAUUAUUGUAGGUGGUGCUAAUAUGAGAGGGUGGACUAAGAAGAUGAGCGAUGAUGAGCUUGAGAUAGUGAGGAAUGCCGGUGGUGUGCUGCUUCAAAGAGAGAUCCCAGACUCAAUCAACAUUCAAGUUGCUAAAGUUCGUAUCAAGUUUUUAAAUUUAUUUGAUUCUAAUCUUGAUUUUAUUCAAGGAUGCAUCUUUUUGUUUAGAUAGAGAAAUGGUGUCGUGGAUAAGAUAUAGCAUUUGGAACUAGAAUGUAGAUUGGUCAUAUAUUAUUUGAAUCAUCAUGAUGAGAUUGCCAAUGGAACAUUAUGUUGAGUAGAAUUUUCUAAGUAGCUUAAGUUGGUGGUGGAUGUGUUGCAGGAUGUGAAGAGAGCAGUAGUUCCGGUCAUCCUUGACGUGGAAGAAAUGGAUACGCCAAUCCCUAAUGAGCUAUUGGAUUCAGUCGACGUCUUAAGCUCGAAUGAAACUGAGCUCAGUCUCUUGACCGGAAAGCAUACUGAAACUUUUGAACAAUUUAGCCAGGCUGUUGCCAUAAGUUGAUAUAUAAUUCUUCUUUUGCACAUUACCAGUACUGAAACUCCCAGAUUUUGGUUACUGGCUUUGUGGUUUUAGGCUAUCAGUCUGAAAGAAAUUGUAAUUAGGGUUGUGUAUAUUAUUAACGAAAACCACAUGUGUUGUCGUCAUCACUCAACCUUCGUUGAGCAUCUCUCGGAAACUAUUGAGUCAGAAGUAAAAGUGUUUGUGGUCUCCUAAGACACAGCCGCUGCAGUUUUCACCGCCGAUUAGAAAACGAGAAGGUCGCCCCAGCUUUGUCAAACAAGUGUGGUAAGCAUGUCAAUGUGAGCAAAGGUAGUUUCAUGAGGUUUAGCAACACAUGAGUGUAACAUGUUAUUCCUCUCCCUCCAUAGGAAAUAGAAUGUUCUUCGAGUGACCAGUUUCCUUAGUAACAUACAAGAGCGCCCUCCUGCUGGAAAGAGAGGAGACAAGCGAUCCAGUUUCUUUCAAAUUUGAUUAGAUAACAUUAUUGUGUUG